rnacentral:rRNA from 1 species
UAGAGUGAGAUAGAGGCAAGCGGAAUUCCAUGUGUAGCGGUAAAAUGCGUAAAUAUAUGGAGGAACACCAGAGGCGUAGGCGGCUUGCUGGGUCUUUACUGACGCUGAGGCACGAAAGCGUGGGGAGCAAACAGGAUUAGAUACCCUGGUAGUCCACGCCGUAAACGAUGAGUACUAAGUGUCGGGUAAAACUGGUACUGAAGUUAACACAUUAAGUACUCCGCCUGAGUAGUACGUACGCAAGUAUGAAACUUAAAGGAAUUGACGGGACUCCGCACAAGCGGUGGAUCAUGUUGUUUAAUUCGAAGAUACACGAAAAACCUUACCAGGUCUUGACAUUUUCUUGCGAAGUUAUAGAAAUAUAAUGGAGGUUAUCAGGAAAACAGGUGGUGCAUGGUUGUCGUCAGCUCGUGUCGUGAGAUGUUAGGUUAAGUCCUAAAACGAGCGCAACCCUUGUCGUUAAUUGCCAGCAUGUAAUGAUGGGGACUUUAACGAGACUGCCAAUGAAAAAUUGGAGGAAGGUGGGGAUUACGUCAAAUCAUCAUGCCCCUUAUGAUCUGGGCUACAAACGUGAUACAAUGGUUGAUACAAAGAGUAGCUGAAACGCGAGUUCUUAGCCAAUCUCAAAAAAACAAUCUCAGUUCGGAUUGAAGUCUGCAACUCGACUUCAUGAAGUUGGAAUCGCUAGUAAUCGCGAAUCAGC